CUUACCCAUUUUUCCCUUAGGCUAUUAUUUUCCUAGGUUAGAUUAAAAGGGAAGAAAGAAAAGAGAGAGGCCAUUCUUGCUUGUGGUGCCAUCGGCUAGGAGGAGAAGAAGAGAGAGAGUGUGCGUGAGAGCUAGAGAGAGAAAGAGAGAAAGAAAGAAAGAAAGAAGAGAAAAAGGAGAGGAGGGAAUUCAAAACUUUGGUAGGUAUUCAAGGUGAUUGUACUCUAGGGUUCUUGUCACUAUUGUGUUCUUGAUUCUACAAUAAAGAGAGGCUAUAUCGCAUACCCAAUUACUUUGUGUGCUGGUAAGAAUAAAGCCUACAUGUCUCAGUGCUGGUGGGUGGCAGGGAAUCUCGUCUGAGUAUGCAUAUUGUCAUCAAUCGACCUGUAGAGUUGGUGGGUUUUCAAAGACUUCUCCAAAGAGUCACUUUAAUGAGUGUAAAGGGAAAGAAAAGCUCACCUAGCCUUGAGUGGAGAGCUUAGGUGGUGAUGUGUACAUAUGCGGCGACUUGACCACCACGGCCAAGGAAUUCUCAGAGGAACUAGGGGGUUUACCCUAUUUUUUUUGCCGCUUAGGUCGGCGGGUUUGUAAAUUUGAAACAGGAGUGACCAUUUUGAGUUGUAAAUAACUUGUAAAUGUUUUUGA